rnacentral:rRNA from 1 species
AUGUCGGUGUCAACCAGUUCGCGCCGCUUGAUGGUUCAGGCGCAGGCUGCAUCAGGCGGUGAGCGGCGGCAGCGGCGGCGGCGGCGUCCUCUCCUGUUGCGAGAUUCAGGCCAGGUGGGGGCUAUGAGCCGCCGCAUGGUCCGACGCGUCUUGGAGCGGAACAUCGAGGAGCGGUACCGCGCGGGGCACAUUGGCACCGAGGACGCACUCCACCUGUUCGACGAAUUGCUCCAGGUUGCCGGGCCCUCCUCGACCCGCGCCAUCAACUGCCUCCUCUACGUUGUCGGCCGUGAUUGCCCUGCUCUCGGCGUCUCCCUCUUCAACCGGGUCGCAAGAGCCAAGGUGCCCCCACACAAUGUCACCUACAGCAUCCUCAUCGGCUGCUGCUGCCAUGCGGGCCGGUUAGACCUCGGUUUCGCCGCCAUGGGCAACAUCAUUAAGCUGGGUUUUGCGGCUGAAGCCAUGUUCAGUUUCAGCCACCUACUCAGGGCCGUCUGCGCGGAGAACAAGACCAGCUAUGCAAUGGACAUCGCACUCCGGCGAAUGCCCGAGUUUAACUGCACACCGAAUGUUUUCUCCUAUAGCAUUCUUCUCAAAGGUCUCUGUGUUGAGAAGAGAAGUCAAGAGGCUCUUGAGCUUAUUCACAUGAUGGUCGAUGCUGGAGGUAGCUGCCAACCUAAUGUGGUGUCCUAUAGCACUGUAGUUGAUGGCCUGUUGAAAGAGGGUGAGGUGAACAAAGCUUACAGCUUACUUUGUGAAAUGCUACAUCAGGGGAUUUCACCGAAUGUUGUGACGUAUAGCUCAAUCAUCUUUAGCAUGUGCAAGGUUCAAGCAAUGGAUAAGGCCGAGGAGGUCCUUCAACAGAUGUUUGAUACAGGUAUUCUGCCAAAUAUUACUACAUAUAAUAGUCUGAUACACGGAUAUUAUUCAUCAGGACAGUGCGAAGAGGUGGUUCGUAUUUUCAAGAAAAUGUCUAGGAAUGGUGUUCAGCCAGAUAUUGCAACUUACAACAUACAGAUGGAUUAUCUUUGCAAGAGUAGAAGAUUUGCGGAAGCUAGAACUAUUUUUGAUUCUAUGGCCGGUAAGGACCAAAAACCGAAUGUUACUAGCUGCAGUAUUCUGCUUCAUGCGUAUGCUAUGGAACAGUCAUUCCAUGAUAUGCAUUGUCUCAUUGAAUUGAUGGUAGAAAAUGGUAUUGCACCAGAUCAUUCUGUGUACAACAUACUGAUAGUUGUAUAUGCUAAGGGGAAAAUGGUUGAUGAGGUAAUGCAUAUAUUUACAAAAAUGCGGCAGCAAGGAUUGAACCCAAAUGCUGCGAACUAUGGAACAGUAAUAAACUUACAGUAUUGGCCGAAUGGAUGA